UACGUAGGGUGCAAGCGUUGUCCGGAAUUAUUGGGCGUAAAGAGCUCGUAGGCGGUCUGUCGCGUCUGCUGUGAAAACUCAGGGCUUAACCCUGAGCUUGCAGUGGGUACGGGCAGACUAGAGUGCGGUAGGGGAGACUGGAAUUCCUGGUGUAGCGGUGAAAUGCGCAGAUAUCAGGAGGAACACCAGUGGCGAAGGCGCCGCUCUGGGCCGUAACUGACGCUGAGAAGCGAAAGCGUGGGGAGCAAACAGG
rnacentral:rRNA from 1 species